GACGAACGCUGGCGGCGUGCCUAAUACAUGCAAGUUGAGCGCUGAAGGUUGGUACUUGUACCAACUGGAUGAGCAGCGAACGGGUGAGUACCGCGUGGGGAAUCUGCCUUUGAGCGGGGGACAACAUUUGGAAACGAAUGCUAAUACCGCAUAAAAACUUUAAACACAAGUUUUAAGUUUGAAAGAUGCAAUUGCAUCACUCAAAGAUGAUCCCGCGUUGUAUUAGCUAGUUGGUGAGGUAAAGGCUCACCAAGGCGAUGAUACAUAGCCGACCUGAGAGGGGGAUCGGCCACAUUGGGACUGAGACACGGCCCAAACUCCUACGGGAGGCAGCAGUAGGGAAUCUUCGGCAAUGGACGAAAGUCUGACCGAGCAACGCCGCGUGAGUGAAGAAGGUUUUCGGAUCGUAAAACUCGGUUGGUAGAGAAGAACGUUGGUGAGAGUGGAAAGCUCAUCAAGUGACGGUAACUACCCAGAAAGGGACGGCUAACUACGUG
rnacentral:rRNA from 1 species